CUAAAUUUUUUUCUAAGAACAUAAUAUCAAACAUAUUGUAUCUUACCAUCUAUUCAAGAAAUAGCUUUAAAGAAUCUUCAUCUUGAUUAUGUCAUCUUGAAAUUUAUGCCAAUUAUAAUAUAACAUUUAAUGAAUCAGCAAACAAUAGUUCUUGAAUUGAAUAUGUUGAUUGUUGAUUUUCCAUCUCUUGAGUACCAUAAACACACAAAAAGUAUAAAUAAGAAGUAGAAUGUAACCUUUCUUGAAUCACAUUUUUUUAAUAGUAAAGAUUUUUUAUUCUUCAUCUUAAUUUUGAUAGGUGUUAUCAUUAAAAAGCAUCAACUUU
rnacentral:lncRNA from 1 species